rnacentral:rRNA from 1 species
UGGGGAAUUUUGGACAAUGGGCGAAAGCCUGAUCCAGCAAUGCCGCGUGUGUGAAGAAGGCCUUCGGGUUGUAAAGCACUUUUGUCCGGAAAGAAAUCCUUGGCUCUAAUACAGUCGGGGGAUGACGGUACCGGAAGAAUAAGCACCGGCUAACUACGUGCCAGCAGCCGCGGUAAUACGUAGGGUGCAAGCGUUAAUCGGAAUUACUGGGCGCAAAGCGUGCGCAGGCGGUUUGCUAAGACCGAUGUGAAAUCCCCGGGCUCAACCUGGGAACUGCAUUGGUGACUGGCAGGCUAGAGUAUGGCAGAGGGGGGUAGAAUUCCACGUGUAGCAGUGAAAUGCGUAGAGAUGUGGAGGAAUACCGAUGGCGAAGGCAGCCCCCUGGGCCAAUACUGACGCUCAUGCACGAAAGCGUGGGGGAGCAAAACAGGAUUAGAUACCCUGGUAGUCCACGCCCUAAAACGAUGUCAACUAGUUGUUGGGGAUUCAUUUCCUUAGUAACGUAGCUAACGCGUGAAGUUGACCGCCUGGGGAGUACGGUCGCAAGAUUAAAACUCAAAUGAAUUGACGGGGUCAUAGCUGUUUCCU